rnacentral:rRNA from 1 species
GUGUCAGCAGCCGCGGUAAGACGAACCGUGCGAACGUUGUUCGGAAUCACUGGGCUUAAAGGGCGCGUAGGCGGACCGCCAAGUCCGAGGUGAAAUCCUCCAGCUUAACUGGAGAACUGCCUCGGAUACUGGAGGUCUCGAGGGAGGUAGGGGCAAGCGGAACUGUGGGUGGAGCGGUGAAAUGCGUUGAUAUCCACAGGAACUCCGGUGGCGAAGGCGGCUUGCUGGACCUUUUCUGACGCUGAGGCGCGAAAGCCAGGGGAGCAAACGGGAUUAGAUACCCCCGUAGUCC